ACCAGCCCCCCCCCCAACCGAUAAUUAAUGAAGCCUAAGGGGUGGAGUUGAAAGUUUGCCCGAAUUUUUAUGGAGAAUUGUAAAGAAAUAACCUGAUUUUAACAUAUUUUCUCAUAAAUCUGCUCGAAUUUUCUUGAUUUUUCCUAGCGUUUGCCCGAAUUUCCAUGGUUUUCCAAAAUUUGGGGGGUGGCAGUUGCCCCCCCCUGUCUCGUACGCCUAUGUCAAUAAGGCAUUUACAACAUGAACAUAAUACGAAGCCAAAGUGAAAGUGUGAAAGUGAAAGAAACUUUAAAGAAAGCGUGCUAAUUCUCGUAUUUUACUCGUAUGUACUCGUAUUUUACUCAUAUGUACUCGUAUGUUACUCGUAUGUUACUCGUGUGUACUUGUAUGUUACUCGUGUGUUACUCGUAUGUACUCGUAUGUUACUCGUAUGUACUCGUAUGUUACUCGUAUGUACUCGUAUGUACUUGUGUGUUACUCGUAUGUUACUCGUAUGUACUCGUGUGGUGUUUUAGUCACGAUCCUCACAUAACACAUAAAACUGAGUCACUACAAAAGAAAAUGAUCUACACCUUUCGAAACCAAGCUUACUGCUUUUCAAAUAAAGUAUUCUAUCUAUGUCUAUAUAUAGAAAGCGGGAAGAGAUAGGGACACCCGCGCGAGAGAACAAAUCCGCAAAUUUAAUAUUACCGAUGCAACUCAGAUUCUCUAUCAGCACUACGCCAGAUUGUGCAACAGCACUCUAGAAAUUUAUUUAAAGAUAUAUACCGGAUUAUUGUUAUAAAGAGAUCAUCGUUUAUCUUGUUAACUAUUAUUAAACCUUUCCAAAAAACCUUUGCAUUCUCGUACACAGAGUCCUUGUUUUCGGUUUUUUCUAUUUCGAGUCCGGGUUUUCAAAAGUCAAGUCCGGGUUUUCUUAAACACGAGUCCGGAUUUUUUUCGAGUUCGGGUCCGGGUUUUUCUCGAGUCCGGAUUUUCUUAGAGUCCGAGUCCGGUCCGGGUUUCGAAGUAUGCCUAUAUUUUAUGGCUUAGACUUUGCUCAUGUAAUUAUUAGUUGUAGACCUGUUGUAGUCUAUAAAGACUAGUGAGUAGUGUAAGUGAAAUUUAUAGAAAUAGUUACACUCCGAUAUAUUAUAUUGUAGUUUACAUGUAUACUAACAGAGUUUAGAAUUACAACAGCUGAGCC